GAAAAGUCGGACGCACUGCUGCGCGUCUCUGCGCGAGAAUAUUCUAAGACUUAAUUGAGCCCCAAAUAAUUAUUUUAACUCAAAAAAUAUUAAAAAAGGAGGCCACUAACGCAUAGAUACAGAAAAAGUAUUGAUUUUCGUCCAAGAUGGCGGACGACGAGCAAUUCAGUUUGUGCUGGAACAAUUUCAACACAAAUCUGUCGGCUGGGUUCCACGAGUCGCUAUGUCGCGGCGAUUUGGUGGACGUUUCCCUUGCGGCGGAGGGGCAGAUCGUGAAGGCCCACCGAUUGGUUCUAUCGGUGUGCUCGCCCUUCUUCCGCAAAAUGUUCACCCAAAUGCCCUCCAACACCCAUGCCAUCGUAUUUUUGAAUAACGUUAGCCAUUCGGCUCUGAAGGACCUGAUCCAGUUUAUGUAUUGCGGGGAGGUGAAUGUGAAGCAGGAUGCCCUACCCGCGUUUAUCAGCACCGCGGAAUCGCUGCAAAUCAAGGGGUUAACGGAUAAUGAUCCUGCGCCGCAGCCACCGCACGAGCCCAGCCCCCCGCCAGCCGCACCCCAUGUACAACAGCAGCAAGUGGCUGCUCAGCGCGUACAGCGCCAGCAGCCGCGUCCUGCCGCCCGCUACAAGAUUGAGACCGUGGACGAGGGAUUGGGCGACGAGAAGGGCACCACCCAGAUUGUCAUCCAGACCACGUCAGCACCACAAGCCACCAUUGUACAACAGCAACCGCAGCAGCAGCCGACCCAAAUCCAGACGCAGCAGCUGCAGACAGGAACCACGACAACGGCCACCCUGGUGACGACCAACAAACGCUCCGCCCAGCGCUCUAAUUUGGCCCAGAGCAGUAGCGCCGGUGUCAAGCGUACGAAAACGGCUAACGUAAUGGACCCACUGGAAUCGGAAACUGGAACAACGGCUACCACCACAACGCAGCAAAUAGUGCCGCAGCAAAUCACCGUUCAGACCACUGUUGUAUCCGCGGCGGAAAAGCUACCUCAGUCGCAGGUACGCCAGCAGCAGCAACAACAGGAGGAAGCUGAAUACAUUGAUCUCCCCAUGGAAAUAAACACGAAAUCUGAACCGGACUACACUGAGGACCACGGUGAUGCUGCAGGCGAUGCGGAAGGCCCUUACGUUGAAGACGACGCCUACGGCGAUAUGCGCUAUGACGACAGCUACUUCACCGAGAACGAGGAUGCGGGCAACCAGGCGGCGAACACCAGUGGCGGUGCCGUCUCUGCCACCACAUCCAAGGCUGUAGUCAAGCAGCAAAGCUACAGCGAUUCUUCGUUCGUCGAGGGUGGCGCGGAUCAGAGCACUACAGAGGCUCAAGGUCUAACUGAUGUUGAUCCUAGUAUCUUGGGUGAUUUUGGCAACGAAAGUUUUCUGCCCAAGACCCGGGGAACGGUGCGACAAAAAAUUCGUUGCGGAUUGGCUGAAGAUCAGAAAUGUAUGCGAACUCUUGACGAUUGGGAUCGAAUUCGAUAUGAGAGGACAGUCACCGGAGAUGUUCUUAUUUACGAUGGACAACGUUAUAUGCGGCGAGCCAACUACGGAGACAACAUUUACUGGGUCUGUGCUAAAAAAAGACUGAACUGCAAAGUGUAUAUGAUUACCCACAAGAACAAGCCCACUCUGGUGGCCAUUUCUGGAGUGCACAAUCACGUUUAGCACCAAUAAGAUAAUACUAUUAUUUACUUUUUAAAACAUCAUUACGGAAACAACAUUCCAAAAGCGUCAGAAUAGGUUUUCUUCUCUCAUCUUACUCAGAUAUAUCUCAGCAAUUCACAGAGGUUAUACUCUAGGAUAUCCGCCACCAAGAAGUCAUUUUCCUGCCACCUACAUAAUUCACAAGAACAAACAGCUCACAAUGUUUACAACCAUACUUUAAUAUAUGUUAUAGAACCAAUAAACUGACACAAACCUAAUAGGUUUAUAGUUGAAUCCCA
rnacentral:misc_RNA from 1 species